GACGAACGCUGGCGGCGUGCCUAAUACAUGCAAGUUGAGUGCUGAAGGUUGGUACUUGUACCAACUGGAUGAGCAGCGAACGGGUGAGUAACGCGUGGGGAAUCUGCCUUUGAGCGGGGGACAACAUUUGGAAACGAAUGCUAAUACCGCAUAAAAACUUUAAACACAAGUUUUAAGUUUGAAAGAUGCAAUUGCAUCACUCAAAGAUGAUCCCGCGUUGUAUUAGCUAGUUGGUGAGGUAAAGGCUCACCAAGGCGAUGAUACAUAGCCGACCUGAGAGGGUGAUCGGCCACAUUGGGACUGAGAAACGGCCCAAACUCCUACGGGAGGCAGCAGUAGGGAAUCUUCGGCAAUGGACGAAAGGCUGACCGAGCAACGCCGCGUGAGUGAAGAAGGUUUUCGGAUCGUAAAACUCUGUUGGUAGAGAAGAACGUUGGUGAGAGUGGAAAGCUCAUCAAGUGACGGUAACUACCCAGAAAGGGACGGCUAACUACGUG
rnacentral:rRNA from 1 species